GCUUAACCGGAGAAGUGCAUCGGAAACUGGAUAACUUGAGUGCAGAAGAGGGUAGUGGAACUCCAUGUGUAGCGGUGGAAUGCGUAGAUAUAUGGAAGAACACCAGUGGCGAAGGCGGCUACCUGGUCUGCAACUGACGCUGAGACUCGAAAGCAUGGGUAGCGAACAGGAUUAGAUACCCUGGUAGUCCAUGCAGUAAACGAUGAGUGCUAGGUGUUGGAGGGUUUCCGCCCUUCAGUGCCGGAGCUAACGCAUUAAGCACUCCGCCUGGGGAGUACGACCGCAAGGUUGAAACUCAAAGGAAUUGACGGGGGCCCGCACAAGCGGUGGAGCAUGUGGUUUAAUUCGAAGCUACGCGAAGAACCUUACCAGGUCUUGACAUCUUGCGCCAACCCUAGAGAUAGGGCGUUUCCUUCGGGAACGCAAUGACAGGUGGUGCAUGGUCGUCGUCAGCUCGUGUCGUGAGAUGUUGGGUUAAGUCCCGCAACGAGCGCAACCCUUGUUACUAGUUGCCAGCAUUAAGUUGGGCACUCUAGUGAGACUGCCGGUGACAAACCGGAGGAAGGUGGGGACGACGUCAGAUCAUCAUGCCCCUUAUGACCUGGGCUACACACGUGCUACAAUGGACGGUACAACG
rnacentral:rRNA from 1 species